rnacentral:rRNA from 1 species
AUUGAACGCUGGCGGCAGGCCUAACACAUGCAAGUCGAGCGCGCGGCGGACGGGUGAGUAAUGUAUGGGAAUCUGCCUGAUGGAGGGGGAUAACUACUGGAAACGGUAGCUAAUACCGCAUACCAUCAGAUGAGCCCAGAUGGGAUUAGCUUGUAGGUGGGGUAACGGCUUACCUAGGCGACGAUCCCUAGCUGGUCUGAGAGGAUGACCAGCCACACUGGGACUGAGACACGGUCCAGACUCAUACGGGAGGCAGCAGGGGGGAAUAUUGCACAAUGGGCGCAAGCCUGAUGCAGCCAUGCCGCGUGGGUGAAGAAGGCCUUCGGGUUGUAAAGCACUUUCAGCGAGGAGGCGUUACCCACAGAAGAAGCACCGGCUAACUCCGUGCCAGCAGCCGCGGUAAUUC